rnacentral:rRNA from 1 species
GACGAACGCUGGCGGCGCGCUUAACACAUGCAAGUCGAACGGAAAGGCCUGUUUUCCCUUGUGGAUUGCGGGUACUCGAGUGGCGAACGGGUGAGUAACACGUGAGUGAUCUGCCCCCAACUUGGGUAUAAGCCUGGGAAACUGGGUCUAAUUCCCGAUAGGACUGCAGGGUGGUGCCUGUGGUGGAAAACGAUUUUCUAGUGGUUGGGGAUGAGCUCGCGGCCUAUCAGCUUGUUGGUGGGGUAAUGGCCUACCAAGGCGGCGACGGGUAGCCGGCCUGAGAGGGUGGACGGCCACAUUGGGACUGAGAUACGGCCCAGACUCCUACGGGAGGCAGCAGUGGGGAAUAUUGCACAAUGGGCGGAAGCCUGAUGCAGCGACGCCGCGUGGGGGAUGACGGCCUUCGGGUUGUAAACUCCUUUCGACCGCGAGGAAGCCACCUGGUUGGAAGGGUGGUGACGGUAGUGGUAGAAGAAGCACCGGCUAACUACGUG